AACGAACGCUGGCGGCAUGUCUAACACAUGCAAGUCGAACGAGACCUUCGGGUCUAGUGGCGCACGGGUGCGUAACGCGUGGGAACCUGCCUUUAGGUUCGGAAUAACUCAGAGAAAUUUGAGCUAAUACCGGAUAAUGUCUUCGGACCAAAGAUUUAUCGCCUUUAGAUGGGCCCGCGUUGGAUUAGCUAGUUGGUGGGUAAAGGCCUACCAAGGCGACGAUCCAUAGCUGGUCUGAGAGGAUGAUCAGCCACACUGGGACUGAGACACGGCCCAGACUCCUACGGGAGGCAGCAGUGGGGAAUAUUGGACAAUGGGCGAAAGCCUGAUCCAGCAAUGCCGCGUGAGUGAUGAAGGCCUUAGGGCUGUAAAGCUCUUUUACCCGAGAUGAUAAUGACAGUAUCGGGAGAAUAAGCCCCGGCUAACUCCGUGCCAGCAGCCGCGGUAAU
rnacentral:rRNA from 1 species